UACGUAGGCAGCAAGCGUUGUUCGGAGUUACUGGGCGUAAAGGGUGCGUAGGCGGUCCUAUAAGUAUGGUGUGAAAUCUCCCGGCUUAACUGGGAGGGUGCGCUAUAGACUGUGGGACUAGAGUGUGGGAGAGGAAAGUGGAAUUCCUGGUGUAGCGGUGAAAUGCGUAGAUAUCAGGAGGAACACGGUGGUGUAAACGCUUUCUGGACCAUAACUGACGUGAGGCACGAAAGCGUGGGUAGCAAACAGGAUUAGAUACCUUG
rnacentral:rRNA from 1 species